ensembl:lncRNA
GGGAGUUGACCCCAGAGACCCCACCUCUAGAGGAGGGACCCCAGAAUUGGGGAGGGGUGGGGGUCCUAACCCAACGAUCCUGUUGAACCGGGACCACACAUAAACACAAACACACACACACGCACAUCUACACACACACACCUACACACACACACACACACACACACACACACACACACACACACACACACACACACACACACACACACACACACACACACCUACACACACGAGCACACACCUACACAUACAAACCUACACACACACAGCUACACAAACACACAUACACAUACACCACACACCUACACACACCACAUACCUACACACACGUCUUUAGCGCCCUCUUGUGGUCAGCUUCUCACACUGCACUUUGUAACACGGGACUCCCAUGGGGUUAUGUGUGUGGUCCAUUAGUCUUAGAGGCGUUGCACCGCCUUGUAGCAACACGUGUGUCAGUGUUGGUGCCAACAUGAUGUUACUAGUCUAGUCUAGUCCUGUGUCUACACUCCAUGUUCCCGUAGAACCUUCUGGACUGAUGUGGUGUUCACCCCUACAGGCUGUGGUCCUUUCGACCACGUGUGAUGAACACACACCUUAAGGAGCCUUCUCAGACCUGCUGAGGUCGCUAGUAGGGCGAUGUUGGAUUCAGGGCGGACUGGAGCCCUGGACUUGACUGCAGUGUGGAGGUCCGGCCAGCAGGGGCAGCCCUGUGGAGGCCUCAGUCCUGGAAGAAUGGCAGAACGUCUCACUGGUGUUUUUACUGGUGUUGAAUCCGUCACUGAUGGUGCGCCGUCACAUAACUUGAACUGUAUGUGAUUUAGAUAAGUUAAACCCAUGUCCUGAAACACGUUGGAGGGUUAGCAGUAGAAGCUUCUCACUAACUCUGAUGACAGUUAUAUUAUCAAUGUUUCAUGAAGGAAGGAAUAUUUCUAGAUUAAAUAAAUAAACAUAAUUGUAACUCUAAUGUGUGUGUGCGUAUGUUUAUGUGUGUAUGUGAGUGUGUGUUUGUAUAUUGUUCACCAGAUUACUUAGUUUUUU